rnacentral:rRNA from 1 species
UUUUCCGGUUGAUCCUGCCGGAGGUCACUGCUAUUGGGAUUCGACUAAGCCAUGCGAGUCGAGAGGGUUCGGCCCUCGGCAGACUGCUCAGUAACACGUGGAUAAUCUGCCCUAAGGUGGAGGAUAAUCUCGGGAAACUGAGAAUAAUACUCCAUAGGUCUAGGAUGCUGGAAUGCACUUAGACUAAAAGCUCCGGCGCCUUAGGAUGAAUCUGCGGACUAUCAGGUAGUAGUCAGGAUAAAGACCUGACUAGCCAACGACGGAUACGGGUUGUGAGAGCAAUAACCCGGAGACGAUAUCUGAGACACGAUAUCGGGCCCUACGGGGCGCAGCGGGCGCGAAACCUUCACACUGUGCGAAAGCACGAUGAGGGGAUCCCAAGUGCUUGCACGUAAGUGUAAGCUGUUUCUAUGUUUAAAAUGCAUAGAGAGUAAGGGCUGGGUAAGACGGGUGCCAGCCGCCGCGGUAAUACCUGCAGCUCAAGUGGUGACCACUAUUAUUGGGCCUAAAACGUCCGUAGCCGGUUUGAUAAAUGCCUGGGUAAAUCGUAUAGCUCAACUAUACGAAUUCCGGGUAGACUGUCAAACUUGAGACCGGGAGAAGCUAGAGGUACUCUUGGGGUAGAGGUGAAAUUCUGUAAUCCUGGGGGGACCACCAGUGGCGAAGGCGUCUAGCUAGAACGGGUCUGACGGUGAGGGACGAAGCCCUGGGGCGCAAACCGGAUUAGAUACCCGGGUAGUCCAGGGUGUAAACGCUGCUUGCUUGAUGUUAGUCGGGCUCCGAGCCCGAUUAGUGUCGGAGAGAAGUUGUUAAGCAAGCUGCCUGGGAAGUACGAUCGCAAGAUUGAAACUUAAAGGAAUUGGCGGGGGAGCACA